UAUUUGUUUUUAUCUUGCACUAAUACUACCUUUUAGUUUUGUUGUGGGUUGUUGUUUUGAGGAACUUAGAGUUGAAGAAGAAGCUUGAAGGAUUUAAAAGGUGAAGUAGAGGAAGACUUAAAUACGGAUUUAGAAUUAUCUAGAAAUUAGAAUCAAGGCAAGGGUCGUCAUCAAGAAUGAAGCUCUACUUCAAUACUGUGAGCUCCUCUUUUCAGAGUUUAAUGGCAAUCUUAGCCUAAAUUUAGGAAUUAAGAAGCUCUUUAUAACAGUACUGCUGAGGCCGAAAGGGGAAAAAGUAUUUGAUGUGGCGAACUUGAGUUUCUAGGGACUUUUUUUUGGGCAAAAAUUUGACUCGAGGAUCCAAGGGGACUGGAGCUCGAGAAGUAUUGGAGCAGAUAGGAGUCACGGUGCUAAGUAGUAGAAAGAAAGGGAAAAAAAAGAAACGUGACAAGUAGUCAUCAAUUGCAGAGGAUUACUCUUUGUAAUCUUCAUUUAAUUUCUAUGAAAUUUUAAGUUCAUUUCUGGGUUA
rnacentral:lncRNA from 1 species